rnacentral:lncRNA from 1 species
AUUGGUCACAAUUUAUUUAUCAAUCACAAAUUAUAAAUUUUAUAAAUUAUAAUUCAAAUUUUUAGGUCAAAAAUUAUUUGUUGGUCACAAUUUUAAAUAAUUAGUCAAUACUUCAGAUUCGCAGUCAAUCCAGCAAACCCUACCACGACUACUAGAUCCAUCACUACCGCCACCAACAAAAAUCAUAGCCAAAUCAUGCCAGAGAAACACCACAAAUUGGAGAAAAUUUCGUAUUGUUGCUGCGUGUAGAGAUUUGUGAUUGACAAAUCGUCGUAUGGCACUACGCAACUGUUGUGCCUCCGGGUAUAGAGGCUCCGAUGCCUCCAUGGUACAUAUCGCCACAAGGCGAAGUGUUGUAGCGUGACCCUGCCAUCACUUGCACGACCAUCACCAUCUACAAACCACCAUCAAUGACCAAAAAUCUACACAAAACAUCAACUAAGAAGCAGACCAAAAAGAUACAACUCAAAAACAAACCUUGUGGAUAACGAUGUCGCCAUAGCGUUCAGAUCAUUAGCCCCUGAUCUACUGUUGUGCAAUGACUGCUGCUGCGACAGAUCAUCAUCACCUAAUGUGCCACUGUGUAAUGGCUGCACUUUAGUAGAUCAUCGUCGUUGAAUAGUGCCGAUGCGCGUAGGUGCCAAUUGUUGCUUCAGAGUGACACUGUCGUGAGCCGACUUUUCUUCAAUGAUGCUUUGUGAUAAAGAGAAAGAACUGAGAAGGUAGAGGAGAAAAUGAUCAGGGUUUGAAAUGAAAUCUAGUGUGGUGGGUAUGUAAAUUAAUUCAAUUUUAUGAUAUUAUUAUUAAUAUUAAAAAUUUGAAUCAUAACUUGAUUUUUG